UCGCGUCUGGACGUCUAGAGGUGGAGGUUGUGGAUCUGCUCUCUGAGAGUAGAAACGAAAAACCUCUCUUCGUCCAUCAGCUUUGAGAGGAAGGCGUCUGUUGGGCCUUUCUCUCCGUCUUGAGCGAGGCGUUGACGGCUUGCGCCAGUCUCGGGAAGGAGUUGUUUUUCUGAAGAGCGGGAAAGCUAAAGACGCAGGUGAAGAUGUCCAGCUACGUGAACGACAUGUGGCCGGGGUCGCCGCAGCAUUCCCCUUUGAUGUCCGGGUCGGGCGAGUCCAGCUGGCCGUCGUCGCGGUCGAGGAGCCGCUCUUUCGGAAGCUCUCGGUCCUAUUCCCGCGUCUCCAGUCGGUCGUCGUCCAGGAGUCGGAACCGGCCCCGGAGAAGGAGCAGGUCCAGGUCCCGUUCCCGAAGGCGCCGCCAGCGGAAGUACAGGCGCUACUCGAGGUCUUACUCGCGGAGCCGGUCGCGGUCCCGUAGCCGCCGGUGCCGAGAGCGGCGCUAUGGGCCGUCCAGGGGAUGCUACCGGUCUCCUUCGCGGUACUGGUCGCGGAGCCGGUCGCGCUCUCGGGGAAGGUCGUACUACGGAAGCUCCUGCGCGCUCACGCGGGGGCGGCGCCACUACGGCUUUGGGCGCACGGUGUCCCCGCAAGAAUACAGGUGGAGGGAGAGACCCAGGACGAGGUCUCGGAGCAGAACUCCUUUCCGCUUAAGUGAAAAAGAUCGAAUGGAGCUGUUAGAAAUAGCAAAAGCCAAUGCAGCAAAAGCUUUAGGAACAACCAACAUUGCUUUGCCAGCUAGUCUCGGAACUGUAGCUUUACCUAAAGAAACAAACCAUGGAACAGCUGUACCGACUUCUGGUCCUAAAUUGAGGAAAUCAUGAAUGUGGUCUCCAGACAUUGAUGAAGAAAAUCUGUUGAUGUUUUGAGAGAUUACAGAAGAGGAGGCCUGCUUCACUUGCAGAUAAGUUUAUUAUAAUUCUCCAGAAACGUGCAGGUUGUGCGUUGGCAAAUCGCACUGUACUUUUAAUUGUGUGAAAUCUAAAGGUUAAAAUUCAUAGCUUUGAAAAAAAAAUUCAUGGCUUUGAAGGUUUAAAGUUAUUAGAAAUUGACAAAAAUCAGCACAGUAAAGAUAUCUGUCCUAUCUAAAUGCUGUGGUCCCCAACCCUUGGGCCUCACAGCAGGAGGUGAGCAGCAAGUGAGCCUUCAACUGUAAGCUAGCCUUCUUUAUUGACAGCCACUUCCCAUCCCCCACAUCCUGUCUGUGGAUAAAUUUUCAUUCAUGAAACUGGUCCCUGGUGCCAAAAAGGUUGGGGACCACUAUAAGUGAACCUGUCAUUGGGACCCAGUUGUAUGUUAUGUUAGUAGACAAAUAAGACCUUAGUUUGAGUUGUUUGUUCAAAUGAUUAGGUAUCCAGCUGGCAAAUAGCUUAAUUCCUUGAAACUAGGUAUUUUCUGGUAUGACUUCAAGUUACUUGAAUUUGCAGCAGGGGAAUAAAAUAAUUAUGGGAAGAAUAUCUUAAACCUAUUAUUAAAUCAGUUUUGUUAAGGGGAAAACUCAAGAGUUCUGUGUUGUUUAAGCUGUUAACUAUAUGCUUAGAUGGAAUUCGAUUUGUGUCUACUACUAAAUUUAUAUACAUUUGAGCUGCUUUUUAUACGGUACUUAGAAGCCAAGGGUAUGUUUUUUAAAGUUAUACUUUCUCUUACCUGUCUAGCUGUCAGAACUGUCAGAAGAGCUAACAGAAGAUGGAACUAAAAAUCCUGGUGGAAAAUCUUCCCAGCAAAGAAGCAUAGUUUUUAGCUCUAAUAAUUCUGUAGCAAAGCCAGUACAGAAAUCGGCUAAAGCUGCUGCUGAAGAGACAACUUCAGGAUCACCAAAAAUAAAUCAGAAAAAAAGUCCAUAUGGACUGUGGAGACCUGUGUAAAAGAAGAAAACUAAUGGCUAAGUUUGUGUGAAACUGCACUUUAUUUCAAAUUUGUGUUUCUAGCAUUAUCCCAUUUCAUUGAGACAUUUAGUGGUAAUUAUUGCAAUUAAAAACCAACACAAAAAGAUGUAAAUACUUAAUAUUCAAAUGUUAACAUUUUAGGUUUCUCUUGCAGACAAGAGAUAGCACAAAUGGACCAAAGGUUACAUACAGGGUGGGA